rnacentral:rRNA from 1 species
AACCCGACUACAUGAAGCUGGAAUCGCUAGUAAUCGCGAAUCAGAAUGUCGCGGUGAAUACGUUCCCGGGUCUUGUACACACCGCCCGUCACACCAUGGGAGUCGGAAAUGCCCGAAGUCAGUGACCUAACCGAAAGGGAGGAGCUGCCGAAGGUGGAGCCGGUAACUGGGGUGAAGUCGUAACAAGGUAUC